CCUAUAUUCCCUUCGUUCCGAAUUACUCGUUGCAGGUAUGGAUGUAUCUAGAUAUAUUUUAGUUCUAAAUAUAUCCAUUUCUAUGACGAGUAAUUUGGAACGAAGGGAGUACGUU
rfam:Triticum aestivum genome assembly, contig: Triticum_aestivum_CS42_TGACv1_scaffold_288248_4AL